rnacentral:rRNA from 1 species
AUCAGUUAUGGUUCCUUAGAUCGUACCCACAUUUACUUGGAUAACUGUGGUAAUUCUAGAGCUAAUACAUGCAAACAGAGUUCCGACCGGAGACGGGAGGAAUGCUUUUAUUAGAUCAAAACCAAUCGGCGGCGGGUGCGUCCGCGCGCCCGUUCGCCGCUCAACCUGGUGACUCUGAAUAACUUUCGGCUGAUCGCACGGUCCCGCACCGGCGACGCAUCUUUCAAAUGUCUGCCUUAUCAACUGUCGAUGGUAGGUUCUGCGCCUACCAUGGUCGUAACGGGUAACGGGGAAUCAGGGUUCGAUUCCGGAGAGGGAGCCUGAGAAACGGCUACCACAUCCAAGGAAGGCAGCAGGCGCGCAAAUUACCCACUCCCGGCACGGGGAGGUAGUGACGAAAAAUAACGAUACGGGACUCAUCCGAGGCCCCGUAAUCGG